UACGUAGGGUGCAAGCGUUGUCCGGAAUUAUUGGGCGUAAAGAGCUCGUAGGCGGUUCGUCGCGUCGGCUGUGAAAACCCGGAGCUCAACUCCGGGCCUGCAGUCGAUACGGGCGGACUCGAGUUCGGCAGGGGAGACUGGAAUUCCUGGUGUAGCGGUGAAAUGCGCAGAUAUCAGGAGGAACACCAAUGGCGAAGGCAGCUCGCUGGGACGGUACUGACGCUGAGACGCGAAAGCGUGGGGAGCAAACAGG
rnacentral:rRNA from 1 species